GACGAACGCUGGCGGCGUGCUUAACACAUGCAAGUCGAACGAAGUGGCGAACGGGUGAGUAACGCGUAAUCAACUUGCCCUUCAGAGGGGGACAACAGUUGGAAACGACUGCUAAUACCGCAUACUGAAGGAGGGGGAUGCGUCUGAUUAGCUAGUGGGAGGGGUAACGGCCCACCAAGGCGAUGAUCAGUAGCCGGGCUGAGAGGAUGAACGGCCACAUUGGGACUGAGACACGGCCCAGACUCCUACGGGAGGCAGCAGUGGGGAAUAUUGGACAAGGGGCGAAAGCCUGAUCCAGCCAUGCCGCGUGUGUGAAGAAGGUCUUCGGAUUGUAAAGCACUUUAAGUUGGGAGGCGUUACCAACAGAAUAAGCACCGGCUAACUUCGUGCCAGCAGCCGCGGUAAUAC
rnacentral:rRNA from 1 species